rnacentral:lncRNA from 1 species
UUAGUUUUCAAAAUGAAGAAUUAUUACUUUCUUCCUACUAUGCUAGUACUUUUGCUAAGCCUAGUUUCCCUUUCUAUAGGCAAGUGUUCAAUUUUUUUAUCUUCCAUUUCUAUGUCUUUCUUUUUAGAAUCUUUUUAUUUCAAUCAUUUUUUAAAAGCCAUACCCUAUUUGUUUGUUGGUUUUUCUUUUUCAUACCUUGUUAUAUUUAUUGGUUUUUCCCCUUCAUUUUUGGUGUUUGUGUCAUCAUUUGUACUAAAAGUAAAAAGCAAAAGAUUCUAUAAUAAGCUGAUUUACACAAAUGUCCCCUUUAAGGUUACUGUCUGAAUUUUAUUUCUAUUUUUAAAAGUUGUGUAAAUAUAACCCGUGAGAAAUUGCUCCCUUCCAGGCAAUAUUAGACUCAGGUCUAAUAUUUUCUUGUAUAAUUAUAAUUUUGCUCACAAAACGUUGGAUUGUGAUAUAAUAUUUUUAAUAACUUACAAGGUUUUAGACGGUUGUCUAACGUUUUCUCAUAAUAUUUUCAGUUUGCUCAAAAAAUAUCUUUCGACCAUGGUCUAAAAGAUCCAUCAGUUGCAAGAGAAAUGAAAAAAGGACAGUUUACUGAACAACUUAUACAAAUAUGACGAAUUUCACUCUGCAAUAUCAAAUAUUACAUGAGAAGUUUUGGAUUAAAAAAAAUAUUGUUUUAUGCUUUAAAUACUAGUCAAUAAUCUUUUUCUUUAUCUCUUUGAUUGUAGGACAACAAAAAUUAUGUCCAGUUAGCUUUGGAAAAAUUCAUGAUUGUGGUAAUACUGGAAGUCAAGACUGUGUCACUGCUUCGGCCAGGCUAUUCCCACCAAGUGCUAUGGUUCAAAAUUGUGAAUGUGGUCCUCGUGAAAUACCAGAUCAUAGUGUUUGUCGUUGUCAAAUCAGUUGCAGAUCUCCUCCACCACCACAAUCGAAUUAAUAACUUGUCGCUGCUAUAUAUGCAGUCCAUUUUAGUUUUAAUUUUUAUUGCUUGGAUCUGAAAUGGAGUUCAUUAGUUUGGAGAGUAG